rnacentral:other from 1 species
GACCCUCUGGACGGUGCGCCAGGUUCCGGCAUGCGUUGACCCCACAACGUCAACGUGGGCCCUGCCUCUACCCGCGGUGUGCAAGCCCCGCAACAUGGGGAAGCCUGAAGCGGGCAACCGCGGGGCCCCCCUACGAAUGUAGGGGUUGACGGCCGGCGCCAGCGGCCAUUCCGGAGGGUCG